GGACUACCAGGGUAUCUAAUCCUGUUUGCUACCCACGCUUUCGCACCUCAGCGUCAGUUAAUGCCCAGUUUGCUGCCUUCGCCAUGGGUGUUCCUCCUGAUAUCAACGCAUUUCACCGCUACACCAGGAAUUCCACAAACCUCUGCAUCACUCCAGCCAGACAGUAUGUAAAGCAGUUUCUGGGUUGAGCCCUAGAGAUUUCACUUCACACUUAUCGAGCCGCCUACGCGCUCUUUACGCCCAGUAAAUCCGGACAACGCUUGGACCCUACGUCUUACCGCGGCGGCUGGCAC
rnacentral:rRNA from 1 species